UACGUAGGGUGCAAGCGUUGUCCGGAAUUAUUGGGCGUAAAGAGCUCGUAGGCGGUCUGUCGCGUCGGAUGUGAAAAUCCAGGGCUCAACCCUGGACCUGCAUUCGAUACGGGCAGACUAGAGUUCGGUAGGGGAGACUGGAAUUCCAGGUGUAGCGGUGAAAUGCGUAGAUAUCUGGAGGAACACCGGUGGCGAAGGCGGCAUCCUGGACCAAUUCUGACGCUGAGGAGCGAAAGCCAGGGGAGCAAACGGG
rnacentral:rRNA from 1 species